GACGUAGGUGGCGAGCGUUGUUCGGAUUUAUUGGGCGUAAAGGGUGCGUAGGCGGUUUGGCAAGUCUUGUGUGAAAUCUUUGGGCUCAACCCAAAGUCUGCAUAAGAAACUGCCGGGCUUGAGUAUGGGAGAGGUGAGUGGAAUUUCCGGUGUAGCGGUGAAAUGCGUAGAUAUCAGGAGGAACACCUGUGGCGAAAGCGGCUCACUGGACCAUAACUGACGCUGAUGCACGAAAGCUAGGGGAGCAAACAGG
rnacentral:rRNA from 1 species